UGCUGAGGUGUGAGCUCUGGAAUGG
rnacentral:piRNA from 1 species